rnacentral:rRNA from 1 species
UACGUAGGGGGCAAGCGUUGUCCGGAUUUAUUGGGCGUAAAGCGCGCGUAGGCGGCUAUUUAAGUCGGAUGUGAAAGCCCUUGGCUCAACUGAGGAAGUGCACCCGAAACUGAAUGGCUUGAGUACCAAAGAGGGUCGCGGAAUUCCCGGUGUAGAGGUGAAAUUCGUAGAUAUCGGGAGGAACACCGGUGGCGAAGGCGGCGACCUGGGUGGAUACUGACGCUGAGGCGCGAAAGCGUGGGGAGCAAACAGG